AUUCUGCUGAUUUCUCAGACAGAAUGAAAACUCAGAUUGUGGUUAGCUCACUUCAGUAUUUUUGUUUGUCAUAGCUAACAUCAGAAAAUUACUCAGGAGGUGAGGAGACAGGAGGUCAGGCAGUGUAGGCAUUGUUAAUGAUGGAAAGAUAAAAGAACUUGCUGCAGUCAAAGAGGCAAUAAAUGUCUGAUGAAGGCACCACGUCCUUUCAAAUAAAAAAGAAUAGAAAGAUUUUAAGACACCAUUUUCAAAAGAAACUUGACUCCCUCAUAAUAAUUCAUAAGGCAGUAGACUUAAGAAUAAUUUCUAAAAUGUCAGAAAUAGAUCAAGUCUUGACCACAAAGAUAAGAUUUUAUCCUUCCUGGUUGCCUGCAUAAUAAGAGGCAAAUCACCUAAAAAUAAAGUUCUCACAGGUGGUCACUAAUUGGAUGCUUUUAAUUUUUCUAAUCUUGACUUGGAAGCCCGGGAUCCGGUUUGAAAAAAUAAUGAAAAUUUACAGCUGCGGCUCAUUAAAGACAGAAGUUAUUUAAGGACGAGUACAGCCAGCUCUGGCCACUCUCCAUUGCCUGGAACUGAGCCAUCUGAAACAGAGAGACAGACAGACAGACUCAACCUCUGAGAGGAAUGCUGAACGGUCAUUGUAAAAUUGAGAAACUGAACCUCAAAGACAAAAGUAAAAUUUGGCAAGGCAAUUUUCAUACUUUUGUGCUCUAUUACAUCCCAGCUACUAAACUUUCCUGGAUUCAGAAGUGACAUAUCCCCUUCUUUCUAAUUACAUUUUGGACCAACAUCUCUCCAUACUGUCCUUUUUGUACCAGAACUGUUAUUUCUUUCUCUGUAUUUAUUUUCGUAGCCCAUGGUGGGAAUUAAAAAUUCUGGAGAUAACUCUGGGAAGGCCAGUCCUGAUCUACAUGAAGAAGGCACACCCCAACUCCAACCUGAGCUUCUGCACUGCAUUCCUCAAAAUUUAAAACAGGAACAAAUAGGUGUAAAUCUUCACAAUACAUAAUGACAAAUAUUACAGACAAGAAGAGGAAAUCAGUAUUUUCAGAGAAGGAUCCAAUUUUGACUAAAAUAAAGGCCACAACUCCAGAGCCAACAUCUCCCUAUCCAAAGGAACAGGGACCAAACAAAGAAACAGAUGCAAUAGAGUCUCACAAUGUAAUGGUGCUCAAGGACACAGUCAAGCCCUCAACUCAACAGGACAGGGAGGAACCAGGUGAAGAAUGAAGAGAAGGAGAGCUUUGCACAAACUCUUUCCAGCAUGUACCCACAGUGAGCAGUGCACCAAGCUGUGCCAGUGGUGAAGAUGUAGCCCUCCCUAACCCUGAUACAAAUCCACCCCUGCAGUUCCUGCAUUGAUCCCGACAUACGUCAUUAGGUCUUUCUUUGAUCACAACCUGUUAUUAAUGUGAAAGGCUUAAUACAUUCCCUAGGAUGUAUUGCUAGCUGCAGUGUGUUUAAGACAUACUGGGUGCAAGGCAAAGACAGACUCUUAAGCCAGGAAAAUAUCAUGCAGCUUUGGAGC